rnacentral:lncRNA from 1 species
ACAUGAGAUGCUCUCUUCAGUCCGGGGCUUGGUUGAACGGACUCACCAGGAAACGUGACUUUCGUGUCCGACCUCUGCUGUAUCAGGAUUCGAUUCUUGGUGUUAAACAAGACAACGCUGAAGGCUCGGUGCAGCAGCCCUGCAAAGGUUUUUCCAGCGCUCUUGGGAGGUGGGCUGUGCCACUGCCUGGCCCACCUGGCCCACCUGGCCCACCAUUACCUGAAGGGAAGCAUGAACAGCCUUUGACGUGGGAGUGGCGACUGCUGAGAGGGAACUGUCUGUACACAAGCAAUGUAGCCUUAUGGGACCUGAGUGGAGCCCCAACCCACGCAGGGCGUGUCUUCAUGGCUUUUCCUGGCCAAUCUGAUACCAAGAUGCAGUGGCCAGAAGUACCUGCACUUCCACUCCUGUCAAGUCUCUGCAUGGCUAUGGUGAGGAAGAGCUCUGCACUGGGCAAGGAAGUUGGCCGUCGAGUGAAGGAAAUGGUGAUGCUGGUGGCCCCUUUCCGGCAGUCAAGUUCCCUAUCAAGGACAUUCAGUUCUCGGAAAGUGGUGAAGGCACAUGCUUCCCUGCAUGGUGCCCGCCUCUCUCCACUCUCUAGAAAUAUUAGAGGCUAGGCUGCUGCUGUAUGUCAGGGCUAGUCCCUCUUCUAUGAAUCCAGAAUAACUCUGAAGAAGCCGAGUAACAGGCAUGAAGUGAAGAGAAAUCGCUGUAACAGGAAGACAGCAAAGCAGAUGCUAAUGACCACACUAUUUAACGAACUGGAACCAACGAGAAAAUACGGUAUUACUGAAGACUGCACUUCCUUGAACAGAGUGCUCUUCUCAGCAAAUCGGAAAUGCCUACACAAAUCGCUUUACAAGAAAGACUGUUUCAAAGCAGCACCUUUCUCAAUGUUCUCGUUCAGGUGACAAUUCUUCUUGGUCUCAGCUCCAAUUUUAUUGUCAUUUUCAUCAAUAAGGAUACACAUCUCUGCCAGGAGUUGAACCUGUUGCUUGUCGAGGUGGUUAGUGUUUAUUUCAGGCAUCAUUACAAAAUGUCUGAUCUGUUCUAGAACACUAAUAUUAAAGGAAAAGAGAAAGAAAGGCAAAAAAAAAAAAAAAAAAA